rnacentral:lncRNA from 1 species
UUUAUGGGAUUUUGAGAAGUAUGGGAAAUUCUGGGGAGAAUUUUGGGGUCAAUUUAUGGGAUUUGGGGAGAAAUUUGGGUCAUUUUGGGGUGAAUGUAUGGAAUUUUGGAGAGAGUUGGGGGGAAUUGGGGUCAUUUUGGGAUCGUUUUGUGGGAUUUGGGGGAGAAUUGGGGAAAGUUUGGGUCAUUGGGUAUCAUUUUAUGGGAUUUUGGGGGAAAUUUGGGUCAUUGGGGAUCAUUUUAUGGGAUUUUGGGGAGAAUUGGGUGAAAUUUGGGUCAUUUGGGGUCAUUUUAUGGGAUUUUGGGGGAGAAUUGGGUCAUUUGGGGUCAUUUUAUGGGAUUUUAGGGAGAAUUGGGGGAAAUUUGGGUCAUUUUGGGUCAAUUUAUGGGAUUUGGGGGGAAAUUUGUGUCCUUUUGAGGUCAUUUCAUGGGAUUUUAGGGAGAAUUGGGUGAAAUUUGGGUCAUUUGGGGUCUAUUUAUGGGAUUUUGGGGGAAAUUUGUGUCCUUUUGGGGUCAUUUUAUGGGAUUUUGGGGAGGAUUUCGGUCAUUCUGGGGCAUUUGAUGGGAUUUUGGGGGAAAUUUGUGUCCUUUUGGGGUCAUUCUAUGGGAUUUUAGGGAGAAUUGGGGAAAUUUGGGACAUUUGGGAUCAGUUUAUGGGAUUUGGGGGGAAAUUUGGGUCAUUUUGGGUCAUUUUAUGGGAUUUUGGGGAGAAAUGUGGAAAAUUUGGGUCACUUGGGGUCAUUUUAUGGGAUUUUAGGGAGAAUUGGGGGAUAUUUGGGCCAGUUUGGGGUCAUUUUAUGGGAUUUUGGGGAGAAAUGGGGGAAACUUGGGACAUUUUGGGUCAAUUUAUGGGAUUUUGGGGGAAAUUUGGUCAUUUGUGGUCAUUUUAUGGGAUUUUGGGGGAGAAUUGGGGGAAAUUUGGGUCAUUUGGGGUCAAUUUAUGGGGUUUGGGGGGAAAAUUUGGUCAUUUUGGGUCAUUAUAUGGGAUUUUGGGGAGAGUUAUGGGAAAUUUGGGAUCAUUUUAUGGGAUUUUGGGGCGAGAUGUGGGAAAUUUGGGUCAUUUUGGGUCAUUUUAUGGGAUUUUGGGGGAGAAUUGGGGAAAUUUGGGUCAUUUUGGGUCAAUUUAUGGGAUUUGGGGGGAAAUUUGGGUCAUUUGGGAUCAUUUUAUGCGAUUUUGGGGAGAAUUGGGGAAAUUUGGGGUCAUUUUAUGGGAUUUUGGGGAGAAUUUUGGGGUGAUUUCGGGGGUUUUUUGGGGUUGCUGAGCCCCCCUCUGUAUUUCAGCUCCUCCUGGCUCUGCUGCUGGUUGGGGUCAAAGCGGCCCCGCCCUUCCUGGAGGAGCCGUCCAAUGGCAGCGUGGCGUUGGGGAAGGAGGCGGAGCUUCGCUGCGCCGUGCGGGGGGGCGUGGCCGUGCAGUGGGCGCGGGGGGGGCUGCUGCUGGGAGCGCUGCCAAGCCCCGCCCACCCGCGGUACCGAUUGGUCGGCGAUACGGGGAAAGGUGCGGAAGGGGCGGGGCUAAAGGGAGAGGAGAGAGGCGAUUGGGCGGGGAAGGAAGGGGCGUAGCCGACGUGGGGCGCGGCCAAUGGGUGAUGGUAGCAGGCAAAGGGGGCGUGGCUUGAGGGGGGGCAGUAGGAAG